rnacentral:rRNA from 1 species
AUCUCUGUAGAGUCUGCAUAUCAAUAAGCGGAGGAAAAGAAACUAACAAGGAUUCCCCUAGUAACGGCGAGUGAAGCGGGAAGAGCUCAAAUUUGAAAUCUUAAAGGGUUUCCCUUUACGAAUUGUAGUUUAAAGAAGUGUUUUCUGUUGGAGUUUCGGUAAAAGUUCUUUGAAUAGGACAUCAUAGAGGGUGAGAAUCCCGUAUUUGACCGUUACUUUCCAGCUGUGUGAUACACUUUCAAAGAGUCGGAUUGUUUGGGAAUGCAGUCCAAGAUGGGUGGUAAAUUUCAUCUAAAGCUAAAUAUUGGCGAGAGACCGAUAGCGAACAAGUACCGUGAGGGAAAGAUGAAAAGAACUUUGAAAAGAGAGUUAAACAGUACGUGAAAUUGUCAAAAGGGAAGCGUUUGACACCAGUGUUGUUUUCUCGAAAAUCAAUUAAAAAUGGCUUGAUUUUGUGUUGUAUUGACCUUAAAAGCUUUCUGCACUUUUUUCAUGUCUUUUUUAAUGCACUUUUCGUUUAACAAGUCAACAUCAGUUUCUUUUGUUGUAAAAAGGUCAUUGGAAGGUGGCUUUCUUUUCGGAGAAAGUGUUUAUAGCCUUUGACUCCUGCAAUCGGAGAGACUGAGGUCUGCAGCGUAGAUCCUUCUUGGAUUAGAUUCAUUUGUGCUAAGUUAUAGCUUUUUAUAGACAACUUGUUGACUAUAUUUAGUCUUGUAGCUUACUCGCUUAUGCAAUUUUACCUACGCUUAGGAUGUUGAACGCGCACAGAGUCUC